rnacentral:rRNA from 1 species
GCGUAGGUGGUUCGAUAAGCGAAUAGUGAAAUCUGGUGGCUCAACCAUUCAGACUAUUAUUCGAACUGUUGAACUCGAGAGCAGAAGAGGUAGCUGGAAUUUCUAGUGUAGGAGUGAAAUCCGUAGAUAUUAGAAGGAACACCGAUGGCGUAGGCAGGCUACUGGGCUGUUUCUGACACUGAGGCACGAAAGCGUGGGGAGCGAACCGGAUUAGAUACCCGGGUAGUCCACGCCGUAAACGAUGGAUACUAGCUGUUUGGGGUAUCGACCCCCUGAGUAGCGAAGCUAACGCGUUAAGUAUCCCGCCUGUGGAGUACGAUCGCAAGAUUAAAACAUAAAGGAAUUGACGGGGACCCGCACAAGCGGUGGAUCAUGUUCUUUAAUUCGAUGAUAACCGAUAAACCUUACCAGGUCUUGACAUCCUUGGAAUCUUUCAGAAAUGAGAGAGUGCUUUUUAAGAGCCAAGUGACAGGUGAUGCAUGGCCGUCGUCAGCUCGUGUCGUGAG